rnacentral:rRNA from 1 species
UACGAGGGGUGCAAGCGUUGCUCGGAAUUAUUGGGCGUAAAGGGUAGGUAGGUGGUCUCAUUUGUCUGGGGUGAAAUCCUUGGGCUUAACCUAAGAAGUGCCCCAGAAACGGUGAGACUAGAGUACUGGAGAGGGUCGUGGAAUUCCGAGUGUAGAGGUGAAAUUCGUAGAUAUUCGGAAGAACACCAGUGGCGAAGGCGGCUCACUGGACUGGUAUUGACGCUGAGGUGCGAAAGCGUGGGGAGCAAACAGG